UACAGAGGGUGCAAGCGUUAAUCGGAAUUACUGGGCGUAAAGCGCACGUAGGUGGAUAUUUAAGUCGGAUGUGAAAGCCCUGGGCUUAACCUGGGAAUUGCACCCGAUACUGGAUGUCUUGAGUAUGGUAGAGGGUAGUGGAAUUUCCGGUGUAGCGGUGAAAUGCGUAGAUAUCUGGAGGAACACCGGUGGCGAAGGCGGCAUCCUGGACCAAUACUGACGCUGAGGAGCGAAAGCCAGGGGAGCAAACGGG
rnacentral:rRNA from 1 species